rnacentral:rRNA from 1 species
UACGGAGGGUGCAAGCGUUAUCCGGAUUUACUGGGUUUAAAGGGUGCGCAGGCGGAUAUGUAAGUCAGUGGUGAAAUCUUCCCGCUUAACGGGAAAACUGCCAUUGAUACUAUAUAUCUUGAAUGCUGUGGAGGUAAGCAGAAUAUGUCAUGUAGCGGUGAAAUGCAUAGAUAUGACUUAGAACACCAAUUGCGAAGGCAGCUUGCUAAACAAACAUUGACGCUGAGGCACGAAAGCGUGGGGAGCAAACAGG